CUUUAAUUAGAAGUAAAUUUUAUAGUUUUUAGAAAAAUUUUUAUGGGACUUUUUGAUUUUUCCCAGCUAAUAACAUUGAAUAAAACUAAAAAUAGUAUUUCAGUUUACUAAUUUUUUUUGACAAAACUGGUGCCAGCAGUCGCGGUCAUACCAGUAAAAUUAUAAAAACAUUAGAAUGCUUAUAAAUAAUGUACUUAUUAUUUAGUAAAAUAUUAUUAAGUAAAUUUCAAAAAAAAAUAAUAGUGAAAUUCAAUAAAAAAACCAGGAUUAGAUACCCUGUUAUUUUUGAAUAUAAAAAAAAAUUCUAAGCAGUAAUUUUUUUAAAAAAUAAACUUAAAAAUUAUGGCGGUAAACAAAAAUUUCAGGGGAACUUACCAGAUAAUUGACAACCCACAAGUUACUCAACUUAAAUUUAAAGUUUAUAUAUUGCCGUGUAUACUCCACUUAAAGUGGAGUAGAUUAAAAAAAACCACAGGUCAUAAUAUAGCAAAUAUUUAAGUCAUAAGGUGAGUUACAUUAUUUUUUUUCGGAUCUAAAAAAGAAUGUUUUUUAGUAAAGAUGGACUUGAAAGUAAAAAAUAAAAAAAAUAAA
rnacentral:rRNA from 1 species